CGCGUAGGCGGCCUGUGAAGUUUGGUGUGAAAUCCCUCAGCUCAACUGAGGAAGUGCACUGGAAACCAGCAGGCUCGAGUUCGGUAGGGGAUCGUGGAAUUCCUGGUGUAGCGGUGAAAUGCGUAGAUAUCAGGAAGAACACCGGUGGCGAAGGCGACGAUCUGGGCCGAUACUGACGCUUAAGCGCGAAAGCGUGGGGAGCAAACAGGAUUAGAUACCCUGGUAGUCC
rnacentral:rRNA from 1 species